UACGUAGGGGGCAAGCGUUGUCCGGAUUCAUUGGGCGUAAAGAGCGUGUAGGCGGCCAGGUAGGUCGGUUGUGAAAACUGGAGGCUUAACCUUCAGAGGUCGACCGAAACCAUCUGGCUAGAGUCCGGGAGAGGAGAGUGGAAUUCCUGGUGUAGCGGUGAAAUGCGCAGAUAUCAGGAAGAACACCCGUGGCGAAAGCGGCUCUCUGGAACGGUACUGACGCUGAGACGCGAAAGCGUGGGGAGCGAACAGG
rnacentral:rRNA from 1 species